UACAGAGGGUGCAAGCGUUGUUCGGAAUUAUUGGGCGUAAAGCGCGUGUAGGCGGCUUAGCAAGUCGGGUGUGAAAGCCCUCAGCUCAACUGAGGAAGUGCGCCCGAAACUGCUGAGCUUGAGUACCGGAGAGGAUGGCGGAAUUCCCCAAGUAGAGGUGAAAUUCGUAGAUAUGGGGAGGAACACCGGUGGCGAAGGCGGCCAUCUGGACGGUCACUGACGCUGAGACGCGAAAGCGUGGGGAGCAAACAGGG
rnacentral:rRNA from 1 species